rnacentral:tRNA from 1 species
GCGGAUGUAGCUCAAUUGGUAGAGUAUUGGUCUUCCAAACCAAAUGUUACGGGUUCGAGUCCCGUUAUCCGCU